rnacentral:rRNA from 1 species
ACACGUGGGGAACCUGCCCCAUAGUCUGGGAUACCACUUGGAAACAGGUGCUAAUACCGGAUAAGAAAGCAGAUCGCAUGAUCAGCUUAUAAAAGGCGGCGUAAGCUGUCGCUAUGGGAUGGCCCCGCGGUGCAUUAGCUAGUUGGUAAGGUAACGGCUUACCAAGGCAAUGAUGCAUAGCCGAGUUGAGAGACUGAUCGGCCACAUUGGGACUGAGACACGGCCCAAACUCCUACGGGAGGCAUCAGUAGGGAAUCUUCCACAAUGGACGCAAGUCUGAUGGAGCAACGCCGCGUGAGUGAAGAAGGUUUUCGGAUCGUAAAGCUCUGUUGUUGGUGAAGAAGGAUAGAGGUAGUAACUGGCCUUUAUUUGACGGUAAUCAACCAGAAAGUCACGGCUAACUAC